UUGAAAGAGCAAAAACUGAACCCUAGCACAAGUAAGCAAAACCCUCGCAACUCUCUGUUUUAGCAAAGAUAGCGCUGCCGCAGUUUAUAACGCUGCCGCAGCUAAACUGAACCCUCGCAACUCUCUGUUGACAUAAUAUUCUAUUUAUGCAUAUUUAUAUCCUCAGCAGCAUUUAAUAUGUGAUAUCUUGAUGUGAUAUUUUAGGUAGAAGCCAGUAUUUUGAAUGAAGAGAAGGUGGAUGCUGGAGAAGAUUUGGAUGGUAAGAAUUUGCAUUAUAGAUCAGAAUGCAUCGGCAACCGGACCAUGUCAUGGCCUUCUUUCUGGCUGAGAGGGAACAAGUGGAUCACUUGAUGGACAGCAAAGAUGAGUAUGUCAUUUGCCUUAGUUGUAAAAGUCCAGACAUUAUACUGUUGAAGGAGAACCAUCUCUUUUAUCUUCAAUUCGAGAAGGUGACAGUGCAUAAAUUCCUAAAUCUUUCUCAUUUCUUCUUUUGCAAUAUGCAUUAUAGCAUUCUUGCUUCAUAAAUAGCAGUCUUGAAUAAGGCUUGAGAUAUUGUGAUAUAAUAACCACGUUUUUUUUACUGUUCUUUACAUUUAGGGUAUUGUACUGACCAUGAAGUAAAAGAUUCUUUGAUGAUUUAAUGACAUUGAUUUUAUGCAAUGUAAAAAAAUUAAAUAGAGAAAAAACAUCUUUCCAUAGUCCGAUUCUUCUAGAUAAUUUCUAGAUGACCAUUUGUAAGUAUGGUAAUGCGGCCAAUGAUGAGUAAUGAUUUGCCUACAUUGUCAGAUUGUCUAAUUCAUGACUGAGACAUAUACCUCUGAGGCCUUAUCAGUACCUUUAUUCUAAUUUUGUGAUGUUGAUUUACAAAGUGUUGUACGGCAACUGUUGCAAUUUCUGCUGUUAUUGCCAUGAAUCUCUAGCUGAAUUUAGGGUAUUGUACUGACCAUGAAGUAAAAGAUUCUUUGAUGAUUUAAUGACAUUGAUUUUAUGCAAUGUAAAAAAAUUAAAUAGAAAAAAAAACAUCUUUCCAUAGUCCGAUUCUUCUAGAUAAUUUCUAGAUGACCAUUUGCAAGUAUGGUAAUGCGGCCAAUGAUGAGUAAUGAUUUGCCUACAUUGUCAGAUUGUCUAAUUCAUGACUGAGACGUAUACCUCUGAGGCCUUAUUAGUGCCUGUAUUCUAAUUUUGUGAUGUUGAUUUACAAAGUGUUGUAUGGCAACUGUUGCAACUUCUGCUGUUAUUGCCAUGAAUCUCUAGCUGAAUUCAUCACUUGCCCAAUCUUAUCUUGAGGCCAAGAAUGAUUUUUAAUGAUUCUGUAAAUUGUCAGUUGUCUUAUCCCAUGUCAGUUAUGUUGAGUAGUUUUGGGGCUGCCUUAGUGAAGAUUGAUGAAAGUUGGGUCCCAGUAGAAGCUUGUCAGCAAUUUCAUACAUUUGCCAGAAUUUGCAUCAUAACAUUCACCUUGAUGUAAAAAUAGAAAUUGGCAUUUGCUGAGCUGCCUUGUUUAAUUUCGUGUGGUAUCAUUUUGCUAGUCUUUUCUGAUCUUGUUUUAUCGGUUGUGUGGUUCUGGACGAUCUUCUAGAGCUAUGUUGCUAUGCUAGCGGUAUAAAAUGUGUUGGUAUAUGAGGCUUCUAAAGCUGAGAUGUGCUGCUGAAAAUUAUGGGACAUGUUCUGCAGCCUCUACCUUAAAUUUUACUCCUGAUGUUUAUUCUAUUCCGCAAGUCCUGAGCUAUGGUUCUGUUAAUCCUGUUUCAGAUAAAGCAGUAUUGGUUUCGGUUGAUUGAUCAUCAUUUCAACUUGGGCUCCCAGUAGAAUUAGUUGAUUGUUUGCCCAAUCUGUCUCUGUAUCUCAGGUUGUGCAUGGACAUGGUUUAACUAAACGAUUUUCUGUCAGGUUAAUUAAGUUGUGAUUGCUUUUUAUACGAGAGCUAUGAAAUAGAAGAUUAUAGGUUUGAUUUCAGCUAUAAUUUUUGGGGCAAAAGGUCAAAGAGGCCCUUUAUACAAUUUGGGGAAAGACAAUUAAGCCCCAAUGCUUCAUUUUGUCUCAAUUUGGCCUUUUACUUUUUGAAAAAGUCCAAUUAAAUCUAAAUUGACAACGUCUUAUUAUUGUUGGUGUCUAUUAUUUUUUUUAUUUUAAUGAUAAAAUGGCAUUUAGCACUAUAUAUUAUUUAAUUUCUAUCGCUAAAAUAAUAAUAAUAUGACACAUUAAUAAAUGAAAUAAAAAUUAAUACCUAUUCUCACUUUUUCUUUCACCUCUCCACUUUUCUGCCAUCCAAAUAAACUCAAAUUCAACAAGAAUAAACCAACCAAUUCCACCUCAUAAUUCUCGACACCCAAGUCCAAAGCAGUUUAUUUAAACUUGUCCUCUGAAGCAUACUUUGGCUUAUAUUUCUUGAUAUCAUCAUUUAUUGAUUUAUAAAUUAUUAUAUAUCCAAAGCAUAUACUCCAGAUGAUAAUCCCAAGUUCUAGGUGUAUCAUUUCUAGUAAAUCUUUUGCUAUUUAUGUUUAUAUAUGCAUUUCUAGUCCAUCUCUCAUUAUUUUAUCACAAUUUUCUUGGUUAUUCUGAUCAAGAAUGGAAAAUUUUAGAUUGAAGUUGCUCUUAUUUUCUAUGGGAAUUGUUCUUCUUCUCUGUUGUACUGAAGCCCAAAAUAAUACAUAUAUAUAUGACCCGCUAAAGAAUGUGAAUCUGAGUCCAUUUUGGCAGUGGUUAAGUGCCUGGCAAUGCAUGCAAAAUUUUUCUAAAGCAUGCACAUCGCCUAAUGACGUAUUAACACUUGAUGGAGUACUAAAUGUAAGCACCGCUGAGAUUGGAGACUACUGAAGCAAAGGGUGUGCAGACCAUACAAAGAAUGUGCUCACUUGUAUCUCUUAUGUAAAACGAGACUUUUGGUUCGCCAACGGGGCCUCCGUCCGGAACCUCACCGAUUCCAUUAAUGACGGAUGUGCCACCAAUUCGACUAUUAAUACAAAAUUCAAAAGCAGCGCUACAAGGACACUUCAGAAUUUGUUGGUUCCCUUGGUGGCAUCUCUAGUAACAGCAAGUAUUGUAAUCAUUUUCAAUAUAUGAGAUUUUUCCCUUUUUAUGUUGUUGAUGGAAAGAAUCCAACAAUAAAACUAUAAUUACUGCACCUUUUGUACUAAAUAAUUCAUGUGCUAUGUUCUUUCAUGGAUUCAUUAUGUAAUUGCAAUGCCACUACCUCCACUACUAAUUUGACUAGUGUAAACGAUUGUGCUGGCAAUGUGACUGGUAUAAAUGGCUUGCGUUGGUAUGAACGUUGGCAAUGUAAUGAUGGUUAGUAGCAGUAAUAGAGAAGAGACAGAGUUGAGUUAUAGAUUGAUGGUGAGUAGCAGGUGCGGAGGGAUGGUGAUGAACUCAGGUGAUGGCAAGUGAUUGGGAUAGGGAUGAAUGCUGGUGAAGAUGAUGAAUGACGAUUAAAGUGAAUUGAUAAAUUUCGUUUAAGGUAAUGUGUUACUUAUUUAAUUUCUUUUCCACUGUGUUUGGUUGAAAUUAAUCAAAGAAUUUAUUUUAAUUAUAAAUAAAUUCCUAUGAUUGAUACGGUA